rnacentral:rRNA from 1 species
CCUACGGGAGGCAGCAGUGGGGAAUAUUGGGCAAUGGGCGCAAGCCUGACCCAGCAACGCCGCGUGAAGGAAGAAGUAUUUCGGUAUGUAAACUUCUAUCAGCAGGGAAGAAAAUGACGGUACCUGACUAAGAAGCCCCGGCUAACUACGUGCCAGCAGCCGCGGUAAUACGUAGGGGGCAAGCGUUAUCCGGAUUUACUGGGUGUAAAGGGAGCGUAGGCGGUGCAGCAAGUCAGAAGUGAAAGCCCGGGGCUCAACUCCGGGACUGCUUUUGAAACUGUUGAACUAGAUUGCAGGAGAGGUAAGUGGAAUUCCUGGUGUAGCGGUGAAAUGCGUAGAUAUUA